ACAGAGGUCUCAAGCGUUGUUCGGAUUCAUUGGGCGUAAAGGGUGCGUAGGCGGCGGUGUAAGUCGGAUGUGAAAUCUCGGGGCUCAACCCUGAAAUUGCAUUCGAUACUGCACUGCUUGAGUACUGGAGAGGAGAUUGGAAUUUACGGUGUAGCAGUGAAAUGCGUAGAUAUCGUAAGGAAGACCAGUGGCGAAGGCGAAUCUCUGGACAGUUACUGACGCUGAGGCACGAAGGCUAGGGGAGCAAACGGGA
rnacentral:rRNA from 1 species